UGCCAAUCAACUACUUCACCUUUGUUCUAUUGCAAAUAUUUGGUAUGGACAUUUGAUGUUUUUGUUAUAUUGCAGUAUUGAAUUUGAUCGUGAUGAUGAACUAUUUGCUACCGAUGGAGUCUCGAAACGUAUUAAAGUCUUCGAAUUUUCUACUGUUGUUAAUGAACCAUCAGAUGUGCAUUGCCCAGUUGUUGAAAUGGCUACCAGAUCUAAACUUAGUUGCCUGAGCUGGAACAAGUACUCAAAAAAUAUUAUUGCAAGCAGUGACUGAGGGUAUAGUAACUGUGUGGGAUGUUCAGACCCGUCAGAGUGUGAUGGAAUAUGAAGAGCAUGAGAAGAGAGCAUGGAGUGUUGAUUUUUCUCGCACAGACUCUUCAAUGCA